CUCCCUCUUUUUUUUCUCUCUCCCACUCUACCGGCUGCCAUGCUGGGUGAAGAACUCUAAGGACCUACUAGGCGGGAUCGGGUUUUGCAUAGGCAAGAAAAGCGGAGAGGAUCCCCACGAAAAUUCUGAAACCGGGGGAUCUCGGCGCGCAUUUUACUUGACCUAAGCGGCUGGCUUGGCUCCCUCUUUUUUUCUCUCUCCUCUCUACGGCUGCCAUGCUGGGUGAAGAACUCUAAGGACCUACUAGGCGGGAUCGGGUUUUGCUUAGGCAAGAAAAGCGGAGAGGAUCCCCACGAAAAUUCUGAAACCGGGGGAUCUCGGCGCGCAUUUUACUUGAUCUAAGCGGCUGGCUCGGCUCCCUCAUUUUUUUCUCUCUACCUCUCUACAGGCUGCCACGCUGGGUGAAGAACUCUAAGUACCUACUAGGCGGGGGUCGAGUUUUGCUUAGGCAAGAAAAGCGGAGAGGAUCCCCACGAAAAUUCUGAAACCGGGGGAUCUCGGCGCGCAUUUUACAUGACCUAAGCGGCUGGCUUGGCUCCCUCAUUUUUUUCUCUCUCCCUCUCUACAGGCUGCCACGCUGGGUGAAGAACUCUAAGUACCUACUAGGCGGGGGUCGGGUUUUGCUUAGGCAAGAAAAGCGGAGAGGAUCCCCACGAAAAUUCUGAAACCGGGGGAUCUCGGCGCGCAUUUUACAUGACCUAAGCGGCUGGCUUGGCUCCCUCUUUUUUUUCUCUCUCCCUCUCUACCGCUGCCAUGCUGGGUGAAGAACUCUAAGGACCUACUAGGCGGGAUCGAGUUUUGCUUAGGCAAGAAAAGCGGAGAGGAUCCCCACGAAAAUUCUGAAACCGGGGGAUCUCGGCGCGCAUUUUACUUGAUCUAAGCGGCUGGCUUGGCUCCCUCUUUUUUUCUCUCUCCCUCUCUACAGGCUGCCAUGCUGGGUGAAGAACUCUAAGGACCUACUAGGCGGGGGUCGGGUUUUGCUUAGGCAAGAAAAGCGGAGAGGAUCCCCACGAAAAUUCUGAAACCGGGGGAUCUCGGCGCGCAUUUUACAUGACCUAAGCGGCUGGCUUGGCUCCCUCUUUUUUUUCUCUCUCCCACUCUACCGGCUGCCAUGCUGGGUGAAGAACUCUAAGGACCUACUAGGCGGGAUCGGGUUUUGCUUAGGCAAGAAAAGCGGAGAGGAUCCCCACGAAAAUUCUGAAACCGGGGGAUCUCGGCGCGCAUUUUACAUGACCUAAGCGGCUGGCUUGGCUCCCUCUUUUUUUUCUCUCUCCCUCUCUACCGGCUGCCAUGCUGGGUGAAGAACUCUAAGGACCUACUAGGCGGGAUCGGGUUUUGCUUAGGCAAGAAAAGCGGAGAGGAUCCCCACGAAAAUUCUGAAACCGGGGGAUCUCGGCGCGCAUUUU
rnacentral:lncRNA from 1 species